AGAGAAGGGAGAGACACCAACAAAAAGCUUUGAAGUUAAUGAUAGUGAAGAGGAGGCAGAUAAUUAUAAAAACCUUUGCAGCUAAAGACAGUGAAGAGAAGGCAGAGAAGCCAAUAAAAACCAUUGUAGUUGAAGAUAGUGAAGAGAUAGUAAAUACGAAAAAAAGCUACAUAGUUGACGAUACAGAAGAAAGAGCUUUAAACAAGAUAUGCUAAUAUGCUGUAUGGUGGAAAAAUUUCAUUGGACGCUUGCAGUAUGUAAAAUAGUAUAAUUGUUUUUUGAAAAAGUUUAU
rnacentral:lncRNA from 1 species